GACGAACGCUGGCGGCGUGCUUAACACAUGCCAGUCGAACGGAAAGGCCCUGCUUUUGUGGGGUGCUCGAGUGGCGAACGGGUGAGUAACACGUGAGUAACCUGCCCUUGACUUUGGGAUAACUUCAGGAAACUGGGGCUAAUACCGGAUAGGAGCUCCUGCUGCAUGGUGGGGGUUGGAAAGUUUCGGCGGUUGGGGAUGGACUCGCGGCUUAUCAGCUUGUUGGUGGGGUAGUGGCUUACCAAGGCUUUGACGGGUAGCCGGCCUGAGAGGGUGACCGGCCACAUUGGGACUGAGAUACGGCCCAGACUCCUACGGGAGGCAGCAGUGGGGAAUAUUGCACAAUGGGCGGAAGCCUGAUGCAGCAACGCCGCGUGCGGGAUGACGGCCUUCGGGUUGUAAACCGCUUUCGCCUGUGACCAAGCGUGAGUGACGGUAAUGGGUAAAGAAGCACCGGCUAACUACGUG
rnacentral:rRNA from 1 species